UAUUAUUCUAUUGAACAGCAAAGUUGGUGGAAUGAUCAAUUGUUUUCUAAAAUAUUUUUUUAUGAUAAAUAAGUCAAUAGAGACAGAUAGAUAACAAAAAUCAUCUAAUAAAACAAAAAAAUAAAUUAUGAUCAAUAAUAUAAAAUAUGAAAAAUGUUCACUUUCUGAAGAUGAUGAUCAAAUACUUACGAAAAAGCAAAAACAGAAAUCCGAAUUGUUGAAAAGCAGAAACAGCGUAAACAUGAACGAUAGAGUAAUGCACUAUUUAAUAACUAAAAAUAAUGAACACUUGAGUAGUACAGGUGUAUCAGGGAAAGUUCCGGUAUUAUUAUUAUUUCCAUUAACGAUUUUGAUUUUUUUACUUCUUAUGAUAUAUUUAUAAGUUUUCUAUUAUAAAAUGUAAUUAUUACCUACUUAUUUUAUUUAUCAUCAUUAUCUAUUCAUGUAACCCUUAGAUUUCUGUAAAUAUUAAAUUUAUGAUUUAUUUAAUUUUAUAUUAUAUUAUAAUGAAUUGAUAUGUAUUUUUUAAUUUUACCAAUUUCAUUGUAUCAA